rnacentral:rRNA from 1 species
UACGUAGGGGGCUAGCGUUGUCCGGAAUCAUUGGGCGUAAAGAGCGUGUAGGCGGCCCGGUAAGUCCGCUGUAAAAGUCAAAGGCUCAACCUUUGAAUGUCAGUGGAUACUGCCGGGCUAGAGUCCGGAAGAGGCGAGUGGAACUCCUGGUGUAGCGGUGGAAUGCGCAGAGAUCGGAAAGAACACCAACGGCGAAAGCACUCUGCUGGCCGACACUGACACUGAGAGACGAAAGCUAGGGAGCGAAUGGG